rnacentral:rRNA from 1 species
CCUACGGAGGCAGCAGUGGGGAAUAUUGCACAAUGGGGGAAACCCUGAUGCAGCGACGCCGCGUGAGUGAAGAAGUAUUUCGGUAUGUAAAGCUCUAUCAGCAGGGAAGAAAAUGACGGUACCUGAUUAAGAAGCCCCGGCUAACUACGUGCCAGCAGCCGCGGGAAUUCGUAGGGGGCAAGCGUUAUCCGGAUUUACUGGGUGUAAAGGGAGCGUAGACGGCAGCACAAGUCUGGAGUGAAAUGCCGGGGCUUAACCCCGGAACUGCUUUGGAAACUGUGCAGCUAGAGUGCAGGAGAGGUAAGUGGAAUUCCUAGUGUAGCGGUGAAAUGCGUAGAUAUUAGGAGGAACACCAGUGGCGAAGGCGGCUUACUGGACUGUAACUGACGUUGAGGCUCGAAAGCGUGGGGAGCAAACAGGAUUAGAUACCCUAGUAGUC